rnacentral:lncRNA from 1 species
AACCGACUAUCUUGCCAUUCAAAUUCAAUUCGAAAAACUAUCUAAGCUAUUUGAGUUCAACUCGAGUUCGAUAACAAUCGAAUCGAGUCGAGCUCGAAUAACUCGUAAGUGACUUGACUUAUUUGUACUCCUAUUCAUGAAUGGCCAUGGUGCCAUCAAAUGAAAGCAUUUUGAACUUCCCCGUGGGAUAUUACCUUGCACCUUCUUUCUUGCAAUUAUAGCAUAGCACCUGUGAUGGCCCAACCCGAGUGAGAAUCCCAGCCCACCAA